rnacentral:rRNA from 1 species
GUGAGGAAUAUUGGUCAAUGGGCGGAAGCCUGAACCAGCCAUGCCGCGUGAAGGACGAAGGCGUUCUGCGUUGUAAACUUCUUUUAUAAGGGAAGAAACCUGCGAUAUCAAUUGCAGCCGACGGUACCUUAUGAAUAAGCACCGGCUAACUCCGUGCCAGCAGCCGCGGUAAUACGGAGGGUGCAAGCGUUAUCCGGAUUCACUGGGUUUAAAGGGUGUGUAGGCGGGCUUGUAAGUCAGGGGUGAAAUCCUACAGCUUAACUGUAGAACUGCCUUUGAUACUAUAGGUCUUGAAUAUUGUUGAGGUGGGCGGAAUACAUCAUGUAGCGGUGAAAUGCUUAGAUAUGAUGUAGAACACCGAUUGCGAAGGCAGCUCACUAAGCAAAUAUUGACGCUGAGGCACGAAAGCGUGGGGAUCAAACAGGAUUAGAAACCCCAGUAGUCC